rnacentral:rRNA from 1 species
UAGAGUUUGAUCCUGGCUCAGGAUGAACGCUAGCGGCAGGCCUAACACAUGCAAGUCGAGGGGUAACAGAGAGAAGCUUGCUUUUCUGCUGACGACCGGCGCACGGGUGCGUAACGCGUAUACAAUCUGCCUUAUACAGAGGGAUAGCCUUUAGAAAUGAAGAUUAAUACCUUAUAGUCUAUUUUUAUAGCAUUAUAUAAAUAGUAAAGCUUCGGUGGUAUAAGAUGAGUAUGCGUCCUAUUAGUUAGUUGGUAAGGUAACGGCUUACCAAGACAACGAUAGGUAGGGGCCCUGAGAGGGGGAUCCCCCACACUGGUACUGAGACACGGACCAGACUCCUACGGGAGGCAGCAGUGAGGAAUAUUGGACAAUGGAGGCAACUCUGAUCCAGCCAUGCCGCGUGCAGGAUGACGGCCCUAUGGGUUGUAAACUGCUUUUAUAUAGGAAGAAACC